AUUGAACGCUGGCGGCAGGCCUAACACAUGCAAGUCGAGCGGAUGAAGGGAGCUUGCUCCUGGAUUCAGCGGCGGACGGGUGAGUAAUGCCUAGGAAUCUGCCUGGUAGUGGGGGAUAACGUCGGGAAACGGGCGCUAAUACCGCAUACGACCUGAGGGUGAAAGCGGGGGAUCUUCGGACCUCACGCUAUCAGAUGAGCCUAGGUCGGAUUAGCUAGUUGGUGGGGUAAAGGCCUACCAAGGCGACGAUCCGUAACUGGUCUGAGAGGAUGAUCAGUCACACUGGAACUGAGACACGGUCCAGACUCCUACGGGAGGCAGCAGUGGGGAAUAUUGGACAAUGGGCGAAAGCCUGAUCCAGCCAUGCCGCGUGUGUGAAGAAGGUCUUCGGAUUGUAAAGCGCUUUAAGUUGGGAAGAAGGGCAGUAAGUUAAUACCUUGCUGUUUUGACGUUACCAACAGAAUAAGCACCGGCUAACUUCGUG
rnacentral:rRNA from 1 species